rnacentral:lncRNA from 1 species
AUUUGUUUCUCUCACCACAUCUCUUCACUCAUCAAAGUCAUCUCAAUCUUUUCUAUGUUACUGAAAGUCUUCUAUUUUCUUUAUUCUUUCAAACACAUCAAACUCAUCCCUCUCUUAUCUUUUUCCUUCAUUGAAAUCCCAACACUCUUCUCUUCUCUUCUUUCUUCAUCAAAAUCGCAUAUCUCUCUUCCCGUUCUCUAUUUUUUCCAGAAUCUGAGACUCACAAUUUCUUUUUCCUACAUUUUGUGCAUGUAUGAUUUUUUUCUCAACAAAUCAUUGAGUUCUUUCUUCAUGGGUUCUCAUUCACGAGUUCUUUCUUCAUGGUUUCUC